rnacentral:rRNA from 1 species
GAUGAACGCUGGCGGCGUGCCUAAUACAUGCAAGUCGAGCGAACAGACGAGGAGCUUGCUCCUCUGACGUUAGCGGCGGACGGGUGAGUAACACGUGGAUAACCUACCUAUAAGACUGGGAUAACUUCGGGAAACCGGAGCUAAUACCGGAUAAUAUAUUGAACCGCAUGGUUCAAUAGUGAAAGACGGUUUUGCUGUCACUUAUAGAUGGAUCCGCGCCGCAUUAGCUAGUUGGUAAGGUAACGGCUUACCAAGGCAAUGAUGCGUAGCCGGCCUGAGAGGGUGAUCGGCCACACUGGAACUGAGACACGGUCCAGACUCCUACGGGAGGCAGCAGUAGGGAAUCUUCCGCAAUGGGCGAAAGCCUGACGGAGCAACGCCGCGUGAGUGAUGAAGGUCUUCGGAUCGUAAAACUCUGUUAUUAGGGAAGAACAAAUGUGUAAGUAACUAUGCACGUCUUGACGGUACCUAAUCAGAAAGCCACGGCUAACUACGUG